ensembl:lncRNA
GUGUGUGCUUCAAUAGCUAUAGGAGUCGCCCUCGAACUCUGUUGGUACUGCUUGAAAUCUCUCCCGACUGAAGACCAAAACAUACCUCAGUUGCAGGCGGACAGUGAGGAUCUAACACUGCCCCCGAGUGGUGAGCGUUUGCACUACCAGCGAGACCCCAGGACUCAUUUUGGAGUAGCCCACUCCUCUCGCUCUGUGUCUUUCCCCCAAUGGGACAGUGAUAGGCUGAGGGAGAUGAAGAGGGGAGAGGAGGAGGAGACCGUGGAAUAUGUCAGCUGUUGUCCCCACUGCCACCUUGGGCUGCCACGUGAUACAUUACACUGGCAUGAGGUAGUAGACACACCCCACAAGUUACACUAUAUUGCAGAAAAUAUUUUUACUACUCACUGAAUACUGUACGUUAUAAAUUGUAUACUGUCUAUAUGUUUAUAUCACACACACACACACACACACACACACACACACACACACACACACACACACACACAAACAUUGUAUAUUGUUUUUUUUUUCCAGUAAAUGAAUAUUUAAUAUAAUAAUUAAUCCUUAAUUAUAUAAAUGUAAUAAUAUAUCAUAAUUAGGUUCAUUUUUCAUGUAUCGUAAAAUAAAUCAUAAUGCAAUCAUUAUCAUAAAUGUAGUCUAAUAAUAAUGUAAAAUAUAUUAAUAAAAGAAAUAAAUGCUUAUAGUUUAUUAUAUUGUUAUAAUAUCAUAAAAAUAAUACAAUAAAUAAAUACACAUUUUUAUGUGCAUGUUGGUUAUAGGAGUGGGGGAUAUUAAUGAAACACCUAACAGUAUUGGAUCCAAGCAGCUCUUAAAGUGACAGCAGUCUAAUAUUCCUGCUGUCUGUCAUUCAUGUUAAUCAAACAACAAAAGAAAGAAAAUCUAUCACUGCUGUUGACUAAAUCACUUUUGUAACCUUAAUAAGAAGAAAUAUAUAUUUCAUUUACAGUGAAAAACAUGCAGUAUUUUAUACAUUUGAUUACUUGACUUGGGGGAAGUCAUGGCCUAAUGGUUAGAGAGUUUGACUCCUAAUCCUAAGGUUGUGGGUUCGAGUCUCGGGCCGGCAAUACCACGACUGAGGUGCCCUUGAGCAAGGCACCGAACCCCCAACUGCUCCUCGGGCGCCGCAGCAUAAAUGGCUGCCCACUGCUCCGGGUGUGUGUUCACGGUGUGUGUGUGCACUUUGGAUGGGUUAAAUGCAGAGCACAAAUUCUGAGUAUGGGUCACCAUACUUAGCUGUAUGUCACGUCACUUUCACUUUCACUUUACAGUGUAGCAUUCAUUAUUGAUGAUAUACUGUAUAUCAAUGCUGUGAAAUAAAAUUACUCAUAUUGUGUUAUAAGAUUUUAGUCAUAUCGCUGACCCAGUUGAGUAUCAGAGACAACAUAAAAAUAGUAUGAUGCGUAAAAUAAAUUGAUUUACUUAAGAAUGGUAUAUUUUUCUGAAUUUGCUUUCACUGUUCUUUGAUUUCUGUCUUUUUUUGUGCAGGCAAAGUGUCUGUUGUUUGAUGGACAGAGAAACAGUUUGUCUUAAUAAAACUGAGCAACUGUCGCUCCGUCUGUUGGUGGCUUCCUUAAAUAAGCUACAAAAUUGUUGAUAUUUUUGUUCAGUCUUAUUUUACCUGUUCAAGUUUUAAUAUAUUUGUUCAGUAAUAUAUUGUAAACAAUUUAAGGACUGCACUGUUUGAAAUAAUAGAACUGCCUUUCAGUUAUACAGUAUUACUGUUUUUUGAGGUCAAGAACAGCACUCAAUUGUUUCACUGUUUCCAAGCGAAAUCCAGUUAUUUAUUUCAGCAUUACAUUACAUGCUUUUUCAUUUGUCAGCAGUGAGGAAAUGUAACCUUUCAAGAGUCAUGGAUUUCUUGCCUUUACUAUUCACUGCGGUGCUUAUUUUAUUCAUACUAUUAUAUGCUUGAAAUGAUGCUAAUGCAUUAUGUGCAAUGUUGUCAAAUAGGCUAGCAUUUACUAAGGAUGAAUCAGGAAUGACAAAAAUGUAUUGAAUUGCCUAAAGUUUGCUAGCAAUAUGAAAAACAUCAUUGUUAAAACUGUGUACACGUGUACAUUAAAAUUGUUUCAAAUAAAAAUGUAUACCGCUUGGUGUUUAGCUAUAUUGAUGAGCUAUAGACACAUUUUUAAACAUUAGUGUUUGAUUACAGGCAAGCAUGGAGGAAUGAGCACAAGCUAAGAGGUUAAUUUCUCAAGCACAAUCUUCACGUUUCAGGUGUUAUCUGAGGCAGCCAAAACCUGGGUGACUCAAAGUUGCCUCAAGCUGAGAGUUCACACAUGGAGUGAAUUGUCAACAAGGUUGAGUCUAGCAACAUCCUAAAGCCAGAAGUGUCCAUACACCAUUGGCUUAUGAGGCAAGACAGGAUGCCAAAAUGAUUUUCACUGGUUUUCUAAAUUAGAA